rnacentral:rRNA from 1 species
UAGGGAAUCUUCGGCAAUGGGGGGAACCCUGACCGAGCAACGCCGCGUGAGUGAAGAAGGUUUUCGGAUCGUAAAGCUCUGUUGUUAAGGAAGAACGAGUGUGAGAAUGGAAAGUUCAUACUGUGACGGUACUUAACCAGAAAGGGACGGCUAACUACGUGCCAGCAGCCGCGGUAAUACGUAGGUCCCGAGCGUUGUCCGGAUUUAUUGGGCGUAAAGCGAGCGCAGGCGGUUAGAUAAGUCUGAAGUUAAAGGCAGUGGCUCAACCAUUGUAGGCUUUGGAAACUGUUUAACUUGAGUGCAGAAGGGGAGAGUGGAAUUCCAUGUGUAGCGGUGAAAUGCGUAGAUAUAUGGAGGAACACCGGUGGCGAAAGCGGCUCUCUGGUCUGUAACUGACGCUGAGGCUCGAAAGCGUGGGGAGCGAACAGGAUUAGAUACCCUGGUAGUCCACGCCGUAAACGAUGAGUGCUAGGUGUUAGGUCCUUUCCGGGACUUAGUGCCCGCAGCUAACGCAUUAAGCACUCCGCCUGGGGAGUACGACCGCAAGGUUG